rnacentral:rRNA from 1 species
CAGUCGCCGCGGUAAUACAGAGGGUGCGAGCGUUAAUCGGAUUUACUGGGCGUAAAGCGUGCGUAGGCGGAUUCUUAAGUCGGAUGUGAAAUCCCUGAGCUUAACUUAGGAAUUGCAUUCGAUACUGGGAAGCUAGAGUAUGGGAGAGGAUGGUAGAAUUCCAGGUGUAGCGGUGAAAUGCGUAGAGAUCUGGAGGAAUACCGAUGGCGAAGGCAGCCAUCUGGCCUAAUACUGACGCUGAGGUACGAAAGCAUGGGGAGCAAACAGGAUUAGAUACCCCCGUAGUCCCUGUCUCUUAUAC